rnacentral:misc_RNA from 1 species
UCAAACUUGGUCAUUUAGAGGAAGUAAAAGUCGUAACAAGGUUUCCGUAGGUGAACCUGCGGAAGGAUCAUUAACAAUUGUCCGCUUUAUGGAUAAUUUAAUCCAUAUCCACCUUGUGUGAAUCAUUGAAUCGUUAAUUGGCAGGUUAGGCCCCUUCCACUGAUGAGGAGAGGCCGUGGGUUUAGACUUUGUCAGCUCGGCCUGCCAAUUUUAUUUUUUGUAAACAUGUCUAAAAUAUUUUGACUGAAAUACAUAUAUUUUAAUAAAUACAACUUUCAACAACGGAUCUCUUGGCUCUCGCAUCGAUGAAGAACGCAGC